GGGUAUUUGGUCUAGUGAUUUGAUUCUUCCUUUGGGUGCAAGAGGCCGCGAGUUCGGUCCUCUCAAUGCCCC